UCCUCACCUGCGCCCUGCGCCGCCUGCGCCCAGUGCUGCAGCUUCGCUGUGGCUCCCCCACCGCCAACCGAGUAGGUUGCCCCGGUGUCCAACGUCAGGGAUGCACCGCGAGCCCUGGCCAGCGAGGCUCCUGCAGGGCAGCGUGGGGACCACAGCUUGGGGCCCGGGGGCCAGAGCUGGUGUGUGCCUGAGAGUGGGAGCUACUUUGGAAAUGCGGCCUAAGAGGUGGUUUGGCGUGUGGGGAGCCUCUGCCCGUGGCCCCACCCGGAAAGUAGGUUAGGCUCCCCCGGGGCUCAGAAGAUUACGACCCUCAAAGAAACAACAGACGCAUCCUACAUUAUGGCUCCGUCCGCCCCAAGCAUAUGCUAACUCUGCCAGGUUUUCUGGACUGGAAUCCUGCAUUGCUGGCCUGAGCAAGAAGGUAUAAACUCAGGUGGACUGGGCCAAGAAAUCAAAUGGAAUGUGAGAGGCUCCUCUGCACCGAGAGUUGCCCUAUCGUAGGCUGCAGUGUGGAAAAUGUCUCACAUAGAAGAAUCAGAAUGGCUUCCAGAAAAAUCAACCCAAACAGGAUGAAAAAUGAAAUGUACACAAUGAUUACAACUAUGCUAAAAUUUAUCUGUCAAUGGACCCACACUGGAAAUGAAUAAGCAAAAAUGACAAACUGUAUGAUAUGGUGGUAAUACUGGGGAUGAGUUUUCUUUUGUCCUCUAUGUUCUAAGCUUUCCGUGAUGUCAUUAUCCAGGGUGGGACAAAAGCAGGUUUACAGUUGUGAGUAUGAGAAGCAUAGCAUUUAUUCUUGUAUUAUUAUUUAUUAAUUAUUGUAUUAUUUUCCGUCGGCACAACUGUAAGCCUAUAUAGACUUAGAAAUGAAAUGUAUAUUGUUUCUUAGUGUAGAAUAUGUUUUUCUCUAAAUAUUUUUGUUAUGUAAGUCACUUAUAUUGAUUUUGUAGAAAAAUUUUAGAAACUAACAAUAACCAUGUUGCUUAAUAUCACAAAUAUUAUAAAUAUACUC